GACGAACGCUGGCGGCGUGCUUAACACAUGCAAGUCGAACGGAAAGGCCCUGCUUUUGUGGAGUGCUCGAGUGGCGAACGGGUGAGUAACACGUGAGUAACCUGCCCUUGACUUUGGGAUAACUUCAGGAAACUGGGGCUAAUACCGGAUAGGAGCUCCUGCUGCAUGGUGGGGGUUGGAAAGUUUCGGCGGUUGGGGAUGGACUCGCGGCUUAUCAGCUUGUUGGUGGGGUAGUGGCUUACCAAGGCUUUGACGGGUAGCCGGCCUGAGAGGGUGACCGGCCACAUUGGGCCUGAGAUACGGCCCAGACUCCUACGGGAGGCAGCAGUGGGGAAUAUUGCACAAUGGGCGGAAGCCUGAUGCAGCAACGCCGCGUGCGGGAUGACGGCCUUCGGGUUGUAAACCGCUUUCGCCUGUGACGAAGCGUGGGUGACGGUAAUGGGUAAAGAAGCACCGGCUAACUACGUG
rnacentral:rRNA from 1 species